rnacentral:rRNA from 1 species
GCUAAACGCGAAGAACCUUACCAGGCCUUGACAUCCACGGAACCCCUCAGAGACGAGGGGGUGCCCUUCGGGGGACUUCCACAGGUGCUGCAUGGCCGUCGUCAGCUCGUGUCGUGAGAUGUUGGGUUAAGUCCCGCAACGAGCGCAACCCUUGUGAACAGUUGCCAGCGCGUCAUGGCGGGAACUCUGUUCAGACUGCCCAGAUCAACUGGGAGGAAGGUGGGGACGACGUCAGGUCAGUAUGGCCCUUACGCCUUGGGCUGCACACGUACUACAAUGCCCAGCACAAUGAGAACCGAUGCCGCGAGGUGGAGGAAAUCUGCAAAAACUGGGCUCAGUUCGGAUUGGAGGCUGCAACUCGCCUCCAUGAAGUUGGAAUCGCUAGUAAUGGGGCAUCAUCUACGGCCCCGUGAAUACGUUCCCGGGUCUUGUACACACCG